UUGAGUCGAGUUGAGUCAGAAGUGUAGUCAGUCAGUCAGUCAGUCAGUCGGGCUUUGGUUGCCUAGGGACAGAGACGCACGCGAGUCGCGACGUCGCGGUUUUUGAAAACUAUAUAAAAUCCGCCGGAAAAGCAAUAGUUUUUGCCCUUUUUUUUUCGUUAUUUUCUUGCUCUCAUUUUGGUUGUUUUUUGUGUUUAAAUGAAAAAUCGUAAAUUUCAGAAUACUUAAUUAACUAUAUCGCUUUAAUGAACAUCCUCAAAUUACGUGUUCUUUAUUAAAAAAAAAAAAAUAUAUAUAUAAAAAUAUCAAAUUAGAUUGAACAAUCAAUUAAAUUUGAGUGUAAAAAAAUUUGCGCCACUGAGGUUUUCGAUUCUGUUUUUUCUUCUUACUGUCGGUUUUGUUUUUUUUGUAAUUAAUAAUCGUGGCAUGAUGAACCUUGAUGUCCCUAAUUGUUGACACAUCGCAAAGAACACAAUUGGACGGGAGGGAAAAACCGACAACAAUAUAUAUAUGAUGUGUAACCUUCAAUUAUCAAUCAACCUCAACGACAACAACAACAACAAGAACAACCAAAGGAGAAAUUAUAAAAAUUACAGUUGCAUCUGCAGAAAAAAUUACAAGAAAAUGUUUUUAAUGGUUAUAUUCACAUUGCAAUGUACUCUUCUUACAAAUUUUUCACACGGACAUCCAACUCCGCAGGAAUCGGGUCCAAUUUCCGUUUCAAUAACAACAACGACAACGUCGGGUGCACCCUCCGAGUCGACAACAUUUCCUUAUAAUCCGAAUCAUGGCGCAGGUGUUGACGUUACAGAAUAUUUUUCAGGAUUGAUCGAACCGCAAUAUGAUGUGGUUCGCAGUUCGACGACUAACGAAGCUUUUUCCAAUCCUCUGACGACGACGACGACGACGACAAAAACGUCGAACGAUGUAGAAUUUUCCGACGUGCCUUCGCAUAUCGAAUGCGAAUUUGGAACAUCGGUUCUUCUACCCUGCAGAACCGUUUUUCCCGUUGCAGAGUGUCAAUGGUCCUGGCAACCGCUUCCUCCCAGGCAUUUACCGUUGCCCGACAUCAGCGAAAUACCAACCAUAACGACCACAACAGUGGAGGAGGAUUUACAAAAUCCGUUCAAGCAAUCGGAACCGAUAACUCAACCUUUGCCUGUGCGGAAAUUCACCGCUUUCGGUAACAACAGCAACGAUUGUUCCGUCAGAUUUUCAAGCGCUAAACACGAACAAGCUGGAUAUUGGACGUGCGCCGUCAGACGGACAGAUUCCAAAGAAUUUACGAGCACGAAACCGGCGAAAUUAACCAUUAUCAGCAUCGAUCACGAACUGCCGAUUCGAUUCGUCGAACGUUCGACGAUCGUCGAAGCCUCGGUCGGAUCCUCGACGCAGAUAAAUUGCAGGACCGAACAUCCCGUCAAAGAAUGCCAGUGGUAUUGGCGACAGCUGAAUCAAUCUCAGUCGUGGAAUUUGGAAGUGAAAAAAUUUCCGGCCUUCGGUAACGACAGCAAGGAUUGUAGUAUCAAAUUCAAAAAUGUCCUGGCCGAACAGGAAGGAUAUUGGACCUGCGGUGCACGAAAUAACUUGAAUUCAACAUUCGCGCAAUCUAGUCCGAUCCGAUUUCUCAUUUCAGCAGUCGAAUUUGUACAACUCUCGCGUGGGGUGCAAAUAGCUGCUGGCGAAACUGUACUGUUGAGAUGUUCGACAAAUAAACCAGUUUAUCAAUGCGAAUGGUCGUGGAGACCCAGUAAUGCGACCAAAGUGAAAACUAACGUUAAAAAAUUCACACCCGACAAAGAAUCCGAGCACGAUUGUUCGGUGAGGUUCAAAAAUAUUCUCUACGAAGAGGAAGGUCUGUGGACUUGUGGCGUUCGUUUAACACCAGAUGGUAUUUUGCACGAAGCUCUACCUGCGGUCGUCACGCUUUUGCCUCCAGCUAAGGUGAGUUUCGUCGAAACGCCCCAAGAUACUUCGGUAGCUGUGGGUACCGCGGCAAAUUUGAGGUGCGUUACGAACGCGAGAGUUGAAAAAUGUUCUUGGAUUUGGAAACCGCUUAACGGAGACGACGUGGAGACGGUGGUGAAAGAAUUUUCCAGCAAAGGAGAGCUAGGAAAAGACUGCAGCCUCUUGUUACCCCAAGUUUUUAGCGAACAGCAGGGAUUUUGGGGUUGCCAAGUUUGGCUACCCUCUCAAAAUUCGCUGCAAAAUGCUCCGGUGGUAAAACUGACGGUAUUCGAAGUCGACGAAGUUAAAUUUUCCGAGCUGUCCCAAGACAUACAAAUAUCAUCCGGUGGUAGCGUACUGCUUCGUUGUGUCACGUCGUCCAAGGUCGAACAAUGUCGAUGGUCGUUAACACCGGACAGUACGAACACCACCGUUGUUGUCAAACAAUUCCCCGCCGCUGGUGCGGAUAGCAGAGAUUGUAGCGUGCGUCUCAGUCACGCUCUGGCGGAACAAGAGGGCCUUUGGACUUGCGGCGCAAGAAUACGCGGUCGCCAAAACUACACAGAUGCGCCACCGGCGAAGCUGAGUUUACUUCAACCAGAACCGGUGAUGAUAGCUCUGUGGACAACACCUUUGCAAAAGAUUAAUCUAGCUUGCCGGUUAAGUCCAAUUAUUCCAAGGGCCCAAUGUCACUGGCUUCGUGCACCCAACGUCCACUUGCAACCGAGUCUAACUGCUAAAAAAUCCAGGUACGUCGUUCAGAUGAAUUAUUCAACCGGGUUCUGCUCGCUUCAAUUUAAACCGGAUGAAGAAGACCUGGGCGAAUGGAUGUGCAAAUUUACCGACGAACAUAAUAACACUGAAUUCGGAACAGCUUCGUUGGUGGUCUUUGGCACACUACCAGACCCAAGACUCGGUUGGAUCGUGGGAUUGUUGACUGGAGUCGUACUUUUGUUGAUGAUAAUAGUGGUGGUAUUGGUCGUUUGUAGAACGCACAUAUUUUUUAAUCGUACACCAAUAUUGGAAACAAUUCCUUCCAACUCUCAAAAAAAGAGAGUCCAUGGCGAAGAUAAUUCCAAUUGCUAUAUGGAAGGACCGAAUAGAAUUAAUUUUCAAUUUCGUACCGAUCAAAGUUCACCGAAUAUCAAUGCUAAUCAGGGCUCCACGGUCUCCGAUGAACAGAAGAAGAAGAAAGUUAACGAGAUCUACGAAAACAUCGGAUAGAAUCAGGAACGCACCAUUUAUUCUUUGGCCUUUCAUAAACAUCAAAGCUAGAAAGCGGCACGUUGACCAUGCCCAGGAAUUCAUCUACGCCAAGAAAAUUUCUGUGUAAAACAGGUCAAUUAAUGGGUCAAGACGUGUUCAUGGCUCAUCAAAUUACACGCUCAUACUUUGACCCUACAGCCACUUAGUCGAAGCGCUCAUCAUAUCAAGAUAUAUUACAUUCAAAAUUUACAUAUGCAAGAAAUUUGGUUGCAAGGUAACAAAGGCGAUGAAUAAUCUUCCAGACUACAGCUGAAUAAAAAUAGCUUCACAUAUUUUGGAGAAAACAUUUUUAAAAUCUACCAGACAAUUCACAAAAAGAUAGUCCAGUAUUUUCUCAAUUCCAAUUGGUUUAUCAGCUUUAAUCUCGCUGUGUCGAGUUGAGUGUAUUUGAUUCCAUUUAAUUAGUGGUAGCGUUGUGGUAUAUCUCAUCUUAUCAGUUUAUACUCACUUCCAGCUUAAGCCUUGAAUCUACUUCCUGCGACUCGAAGAUAAUUCUAAAUUAACUAAAGUUAUUUGUGUUUAUAUAUAUGAUUCAAAUCUUUUGCAUGGCAAAAGUGAAUAAUUUCAAUUUUAUUUCCCAACGUAUCUCAGAAUUCACUUUCUUUUGGUUGUUUAUUAUAUUACUCGCUGAAAUUUCUCGAGGUGGAGUAGAUUCGUUACGGUCUAAUAAAAUAUUCCAUAUAUU